rnacentral:rRNA from 1 species
GACGAACCGUGCGAACGUUGUUCGGAAUCACUGGGCGUAAAGGGUGCGCAGGCGGGUCCGUCAGUCAGGGGUGAAAUCCCGAGGCUCAACCUCGGAACUGCCCUUGAUACUGCGGAUCUUGAGUCCGGAAGAGGUGGGUGGAACUGCGAGUGUAGAGGUGAAAUUCGUAGAUAUUCGCAAGAACACCGGUGGCGAAGGCGGCCCACUGGUCCGGAACUGACGCUGAGGCACGACAGCGUGGGGAGCAAACAGG